GAUGAACGCUGACAGAAUGCUUAACACAUGCAAGUCUACUUGAUCUAUCUUCGGAUAGUGAUGGUGGCGGACGGGUGAGUAACGCGUAAACAAUCUGCCCUUCAGUCUGGGAUAACAGUUGGAAACGACUGCUAAUACCGGAUAUUAUGAAAUUUCCGCAUGGAGGUCUCAUGAAAGCUAUAUGCGCUGGAGGAGGAGUUUGCGUUCCAUUAGCUAGUUGGUGAGGUAACGGCUCACCAAGGCGACGAUGGAUAGCCGGCCUGAGAGGGUGAACGGCCACAAGGGGACUGAGACACGGCCCUUACUCCUACGGGAGGCAGCAGUGGGGAAUAUUGGACAAUGGGCCACGAGCCUGAUCCAGCAAUUCUGUGUGCACGAUGAAGGUCUUCGGAUUGUAAAGUGCUUUCAGUUGGGAAGAAGAAAGUGACGGUACCAACAGAAGAAGCGACGGCUAAAUAUGUGCCAGCCGCCGCCGUAACAC
rnacentral:rRNA from 1 species